UGCAAGAAAUAUUUUGUGUGUUGUUCUUGUGUCUUCAUCUUGUUUCUGGCGAGGAUAGUGAAACUCAAGUUGGUACUCCAAAACUAGCAUUAACAAUAGGCAUCAGUGGUACUUUGUUAGUUCUUUUCAUUGGAUUAGCAGUAUUUGUCUACAAACCUAACAAACGCUCAAGACAGAAUAGAAAUGAAGAAUCAUCAAGCAAUGUGCCAAUAUGAGAAUAAUGCAGCCUGCAACAUAUGCUUGCAAAUCAAGUACCAGGGGAUGAUCAAUUGAUACUUUCUUUGAAUGAAAAACUAUUAUUGACAAAUAACAGAGGAACGAUGACUUCUCAAGCUACACCCUUUGAACAGACAACAACAUAUUCACUGACAUAAAUGAAGUACCUGUGGACAAUUUAUUGACUCUUUCAUUGAAUUCAACUAUUAUUGAYGAUUAUAAACAGCAGAAAAUGAUGACUCAUCAAGCUACAACCUUUGAACAGAUUACAAUUCUUGUGUAAAUAUGUGAAAGUACCAGUGAAAAAGAAAAAGCUCUUUUCAAUCGAAAUAAACCAUGUAAAUAAACCAUAAGCAAAGCCAAGAAAGAAGAGAWACAACAUAUUAUUUUUCAAGUAAUAUGAUAAAAAUCAUUCAAGUAUUUUUACAAUAAAUAUUUAAAUGUUAUUCAUUAUUUCACWACUGAUAAUAAGCGGAAUAUAUUAGAAAAAAAAUUGAACUUCGAUUGAAAACGUUAAGUGUAUUUUUAGCAAAUGCUUGAGGCAUUUGUAGAUAAUUGCUUUUUUGCAUUAUAUUUACAUUCAGUAUCUAACAGAACGAUGUUUAGAAGAAAAAAAAUCAAUCCAUUUGUCUUAGUGAAAUUACUAAAGAAAAUCAURAAGUAUCUUUUUAUUCAUGUAUUCUAUGGUUUGAUAAUCUUUCUUGCCAUUGUGUUGRCAAGAAAGGAAAAUAACUCAUAUCUCGCGCUUUACCCAACUUUUACCGCAAUUCUUCCCCGSCUGAUUUGUUAAUGAAAUAUAAAUGUAUUGCUUUGGUUUCAUA